rnacentral:tRNA from 1 species
GUUUAAGUGGUGUAAUUUACACGGUACUUUUUCAAGGUACAGUUAGCGUCCCCACGAAUAGAGCGCUCUUAAAUA